UAUGUAUGACACCGUUGACUUUUAGAAUCACGUUUGACUAUUCGUCUUAUUCAAAAAAAAUAUAUAAUUAUUAAUUAUUUUGUUAUAAUAUGAUUUAUUAUUAUAGAAACUUUAAUUAUGCAUUAUAAUUUUGCAUAUUUGGAUAUAAAUUUUGAAUAAGACGAAUAGUCAAACGUGAUUCUAAAAGUCAACGGUGUCAUACAUA
rnacentral:pre_miRNA from 1 species